GGCACUGUUUGAUAUUCGUAAUGGUGGUAGCGACAAGGGAAUGGAACUAUGGAGAAAUGCAAAUGGAUGUGACGACAUGUUAGCAUCACCACGAGAUGGACUUGGGAAAGACGAGGAUGUUGGACUAACUUGGUAAGAUGGAAUCGGGCUAGCAAAGUAUGAAGAGGGAGGACUUGGAUUUCGUGAAGAACUUGGCGUAAUGUUGGCUGAAGUGCCUCCAAUCUCCAUUGGAGUUGGCCUGCAUCCCUUUCUAUAAGUAGUUCCAUCAGGCUCAACAAUCCAUCCAGCUUCAACACAAAGAGCCUUCAAAACCUCAUUGUUAUCACAAUGUUUAGGAAGAUUAUAAUUCCCCUGUGCUCUUAAUCCACUAUAAAUCUUAGCUGCUAUUGCCCUUCUCCUCCUUUCCCUCCUCCUAUUAUUCUCCCUUUCCCUCCAUGAUGGCUUCCUCCUCCCACUACCACCACCUCCACCACCAC
rnacentral:misc_RNA from 1 species